AAAUUAACUCGCGAUAAUUAAUGUUGUUGAUGCCUUGAUGUUCAUACAGUUUAAUAUCCACUCAGCAGCUUGCACCAACGCACAUCCCCUAGAUGGAGGCGUAGAUCAUUGUGGGAUCAUUCGAUUGGCCCUUUGGGAAUAACUGGACAAACCACUUGAACCCAGCACAUCACCUCUGACCCUUGUGUCAGCUGUGACUGGUCCUCGAGAGACUUGCGUUGACAUCAACUUCAAAUAUGACGCUGAAGGGCAUCAAUUAAAUCUCCUUUGACUUCUGGAUCGCAGAUUGGUUAAUAUUUAUGUAAAAUGGCUAAAUACGUUUUAGAAAUUAUAUUAAUAGUAAGCCUACAUUUUGACAAAGGCCUAGCUAUGAUAGCACAUUAAAAUGUAUUUCACUGUGCUCUAGAUGUUUGUGACUUCACUUUUUUUCAUUUAGACUAUUUUAACAAUACAUCAAGACUAAUAUGUAUGUUGCUUGCGCAUGAAGAAUGUUGUUCUUUUCGCAGAAUAACAAACUUCCCCUCCCCCACGGGCUCAUCAUUUGUUUAAGACCUAUUCUUUUUCUUUAAGAGGCUUGUUUAGAGCAAAGAGCACGUGUCUGGUCAGUUAAGAGUGGUCUGACCCCUUGGUCAACCAUGAACAGUCAUACCCUAUUCUAUUGCUUAAACCUCAGAGGUCAGCUAGAAAAGCUGUUGUAAAGAUGAGGGGAGAACAUGGAGUGUGUGUACCUAGGCUACUUAACCAUAUUUGUAAAAAUGCAGAUGGUUUUGUCAUGUUUGGAGUGUGGGUUUUAGGGCUAGGUUAUAAAAUGUGUAACUAUAGAAACAAUCUAUGCACUUCCCCCAUUUCGAUACGCAAAGGGUUUUUUUUUUUUUUUUUUUGCUGGCUCCAACAUAACAUCGAUACAGUUUAUCUGCACAUAAACAUAUUCAGAAUCCAAUAAUGAUAAUAAAAAAAACAGUUGUUUUAAAAUCUACAACCUAAACUGUGAAAUUGAAUGUCAAGUGCAAAGAGCGCUACUGUAACAACUGCUGUGGUGAGUUAAAACAUUAAUAGAAAACAUGGACAUUUUAAACAUUUUAAUUUAACAAAUAUAGAACAAUUUAAAGCAAAACAGCAAAUACAUUUGGGAACAAACACACUGUAAAAACAGACAUGUGUGUUGAGUUUGCACUGUUGUUGCCCUCAAUAUUUCUGCAUUGGAAAGUGUUACAACCCUUCCUGUCUGGUCAGAUAUAAAAUUUGAAUUAAAAGCGUGUGUGUAUUUCAAAUUGAACAAGAGAACCUGCUGAAUCAGAUGAUAUUAACCCAUAUGUAAUGUAAAAUCAUUCAUCACACUAAAUUAAAAGAGACGGAGAGACAUCUCGAAUUUUUUUGCCUUGUAAAUCUUCUAUAUUUUUACAGAGAGUCUUACGAUUUGUACCUCUAACUCAGUGGAGUGGUGCUCAUGUAUAUGAUGCAGAUUUCACCCCUGUAGCUGAUUUCUAAUUGCAAACUUACAACUUACCCCGUGUUACAGCAGUGCAGUCUCUCCUACAAUAUUAACUCGACAUCCGACGACUAACGAGUCUCUUCUUUCUCCACAGGCUUAUCCUGAUAUGAACGCUAUGAUUUAAAUUACUGGAAAUCUAAUACAGAGAUUGGUUAUUGCUUACAGUAAAUGUUUGUUGAAUAGCAUAUACGAUGGAUAGUUGUAAAGUUUUGUAAUGAAAUAAAAUAAAUGAAUUUUG